UACAGAGGGUGCGAGCGUUGUUCGGAAUUAUUGGGCGUAAAGAGCGUGUAGGCGGCUUUACAGGUCCGUUGUGAAAACUCGAGGCUCAACCUCGAGACGCCGGUGGAAACCGUAAAGCUAGAGUCCGGAAGAGGAGAGUGGAAUUCCUGGUGUAGCGGUGAAAUGCGCAGAUAUCAGGAGGAACACCCGUGGCGAAAGCGGCUCCCUGGGACGGUACUGACGCUGAGACGCGAAAGCGUGGGGAGCAAACAGG
rnacentral:rRNA from 1 species